rnacentral:rRNA from 4 species
GACCUCAAAUCAGGUAGGACUACCCGCUGAACUUAAGCAUAUCAAUAAG